rnacentral:rRNA from 1 species
GACGAACGCUGACGGUGUGCUUUAGACAUGCAAGUCGAACGCGAAAGCCCUUCGGGUUAGUAGAGUGGCGAACGGGUGAGUAACACGUGGGCAAUCUGCCCCUCGCAGGGGGACGAACCGGAGGAAACUCCGGCUAAUACCCCGUACGCUUGCUGGACCGCAUGGUCCGGCAAGGAAAGGUAGCUUCGGCCAUCCGGCGAGGGAUGAGCCCGCGGUGCAUUAGCUAGUUGGUGAGGUAACGGCUCACCAAGGCAACGAUGCAUAGCUGGUCUGAGAGGAUGAUCAGCCACACUGGGGACUGAGACACGGCCCAGACUCCUACGGGAGGCAGCAGUCGGGAAUCUUGCGCAAUGGGCGAAAGCCUGACGCAGCAACACCGUGUGAGCGACGAAGGCC